UAUUUUGGGUAAUCGCUAUAAAUAUAUUUUAUAGAGGAAAGUCCAUGCUCACACAGUCUGAGAUGAUUGUAGUGUUCGUGCUUGAUGAAACAAUAAGUCAAGGCAAUUGUUUUCAAUUGACGGCAACGCAAUAACCUAAGUCGAUAGAUAAGGUUAUUAUAGUUUGAAAGUGCCACAGUGACGUAGCUUUGAUAGAAAUAUCAAAGGUGGAACGCGGUAAACCCCUCGAGUGAGCAAUCCAAAUUAGGUAGGAGCACUUAUCUAACGGAAAUCAACGUAUAGAUGAGGAAAUAUCUGAAUAGAUAUUUCAGACAGAUGAUUACUGCCGGCGUACAAGUGGAGCUAGUACACGUUUGAAGUACUAAGGUACAGAACAUGGCUUAUAGAA
rnacentral:RNase_P_RNA from 1 species